GAUGAACGCUGGCGGCGUGCCUAAUACAUGCAAGUCGAGCGAACGGACGAGAAGCUUGCUUCUCUGAUGUUAGCGGCGGACGGGUGAGUAGCACGUGGAUAACCUACCUAUAAGACUGGGAUAACUUCGGGAAACCGUAGCUAAUACCGGAUAAUAUUUUGAACCGCAUGGUUCAAAAGUGAAAGACGGUCUUGCUGUCACUUAUAGAUGGAUCCGCGCUGCAUUAGCUAGUUGGUAAGGUAACGGCUUACCAAGGCAACGAUGCAUAGCCGACCUGAGAGGGUGAUCGGCCACACUGGAACUGAGACACGGUCCAGGCUCCUACGGGAGGCAGCAGUAGGGAAUCUUCCGCAAUGGGCGAAAGCCUGACGGAGCAACGCCGCGUGAGUGAUGAAGGUCUUCGGAUCGUAAAACUCUGUUAUUAGGGAAGAACAUAUGUGUAAGUAACUGUGCACAUCUUGACGGUACCUAAUCAGAAAGCCACGGCUAACUACGUG
rnacentral:rRNA from 1 species